ACAGCCCGGGCCAGGCCGGCCCGUCCGGCCCGCUCAGGCCCCGCCGGACCGCGGAGCUGGUUCUGGGCUCCGGUUUGGCCACGUAUUCGCCGCCCGCUCAGCCUGGGCUCGGGGAAGGGGCUGGUGGGCAGCGGAGGGUGCCCGUCCCCGAGGAAAGCGCUGAGCUGAGAGCAUUAGCCUGGUGUAAAGGUCAUCGGAAAAGGAAGGUGAAAUGCCUGACUCCAGGGAUGCGGCACUGGAAAUAGCCAAGGCCAGUAUGCUCAGACUUUAGAGGAUGCAGUGAGCUGUAAGGAAGCUGAAUUUUAAGACGGGGAAGGUAGCUAGCUGCAGGCAAGAAGAAAAAUUGCCUCAUGACUGCUAAGCUCCAGAGUUUGUGGUGCUGUCUUGAAAUGCAGCUGCAAGAAUCUAGAGGCAUAUCAUGACUGCAGGAAAGCUACAUGUCUGGAAAAGCCCAGAUAGCACAGGAAGAACAAAUGCAGGAGUGGCAUCCAGUGACAUCUAACCAGUAACUUACAAAGAUAAACAGGAAUUUCACAGUUAGUGCAGGUUACUAUCUUCUGAACCAAGCAUCAGAAGGUCAACCCAGAACAUGAGAAUUUCUCCAGGGCUUCUGAAGGAAAAGUAAUUGCCAUCUGUUCAUGAGCCUGCAGCAAGAAGACAUAGUCAACAGGCUGGAAAGUAUAGUGUCAUCUGAACCAGAAGUUUCCCAUUUUUUUAUAACUUCCCUUGAGAAUGGGGUCCAUGGCCCAUGUCUGACUGGAUUCCCAGGAGACAACACAGGCUCUUUGUACAGCUACUUCAGAAAAGGAACUGACCACUUGUGCUGGAAGUCAUCUCCUCCUGCUGCCUUUGCUUCCCCAGCAUGAUUGAUGGCACAUUGAUAUCCUGAAGCAAAGGGCCCUGCCGUUUCUUCUGUGUGCUCUGAGGUGGUGAAAGUGCUUCAUUAUCCAAAAAAACCCAAGCCAGCAAACCCAAGGAUCUAAACUAGCUCAAAAGGAACUUAACAAGCCAGGCUCCUGUGGAGAGCUGCUGCUCCUCCUCCAAAGAAUUUGUCUUUCUUUACAGAUCACAAAAAUAUAUAAUGGAUCAAGAAGAUAACCACAACUAUAAAGAGAGAAGGGAACUGCUUUGGGUGCUUACUUAUGCCACUAAACCUGAACACUGUCUCCAAGAAAUGGCUCUCCAAAAGUUUGAGGAAGGAGGGACUCAUUGUCUCCUCAGAAGCUUUCUUGCUCUCUAGCUCUGCAAGUCCUCCCAAUCCAGGAGCUUGGAUCAAACAGAGAAUAGGCUGAAGAAAGAGGCCUCCUAUCUCAGCUUCACAGUUACUUCUUCAAUGGCAUCUUCUACCUCUCUGGCAACGUGAGCCAAAAGUUCCCUGACACACAAGAAGCAAGAAGGGCUUAGGAAACAUAACUGGCCGAUUGCUCCAGCCAAAACAUAAAAUACUGCUUGAACAUUGCUGGAAGAAUUGUAUCUCAUGUGUGACAGGUGUCCUGAGUGUGAGUUAAGAAAGACUUGGAACUUGGCCUUUGUGUGUCUCCACUUAAGAGCUGCCAAAGCUCAUCUGACAGGACACCUACAGUGACACAACCAAUUCAGAGCCACAGAACCAUUUAGGUUGGAAAAGACCUUCAAGAUCAUCAACUACAACCCUAAACCUAACAUUGCCAGGACCACCAAUGGAAAUUGAUUCCUUUUCAAUUAAUUAUUGUUAUUCUUCUGCUUCUAUUUUGAAACUCCUUAGAGCUACCCUCUGCAGCUGAUGCCUGAUCAUAGCGGAACCACAAACUCAAGCAAAUUAAUUUAAUCUAUGCAAAGGAGUGCUGGUGCUUUAAGUUGGGGCCUGUCUGCAGUGAGUAACUUUGUGUGCCAUAGCCAGGGUGUGAAUUUGCAGCCCACAAACUCAUCUGCACAAGGCUUUUGCAUAGUCACUGGGAAAGCAGAAGAAGUUACUGUAAGUAACUAAGAACAUCCAUAAAGGAUAUAGUUCAAAGUAGCUAAUGAACUAUAUAUUCACAUCCUGGCUAAGUAUCCACUUAUUUGUUCCAUGCAUUAAUGUACAACUUAUAUUAGAAACCAUAUGGGUUGGUGAACCCCAUGUUUCCUUUUGUGCUAUGGCAAAAAUAAAACCAGAAGCACUAAUUGGUUAAUAGGUUAAGGUAGCAACUUUUGUAUUCCAGUAAUCCACACAAGCACCAGCAUGCAGCACUUCUCCCACCCAACUUCUCCCUCUGCUCUCUCCUGCACCAAAGCUCAGUGUCCUGCCCCAUGGCUCCAGUGUCCAGCCCUGUUCCCAGGUUUGGUCACUCACUUCCCCACUUCUUCAGGGCUUACUGCAGCCCAGUGAUGGCCCCAGCCUGGCCCAGCAGAGCAGCCUGUUUCCUGCAUGCCUCCUGACUUUCCACUGAGCUGCCCUAUGAUCAUCACAGUUAAACAAAUAAAAGAAUUUCCAGUUUAGAGAGUUUAAUUAUCUUUGAUUUAAUGCUUGUCAAAAGCUUUUUCCUCCUGAUAUAACUGAUGUGAAAUUCCAGGAAAUGACCAGUUAAACCCAAGGAGAGUCUGAGUGGACCCUUGUGCUGGCUGGACACAUAGAUAGAGUGUCCAGCCAGGACAGUCACAGAAUACAUUGCCAUGUUAGAGCAUGCUGCUUGAAGUUUUCAUAAUACUAUUUUCUGCCAUAUUCUACCUCCUAAUAUGCAAAUUUUCUCUGUCUCCCCAAGCCACAGCCAUGGGAUCUCACUGGUUCCUGGCCCUGUGGGAGAAGGGUGAGGUGGGUGUCCCACUCUGAGUCACAGAACCCCAUGGAGGUGUUAUACAUCACUUGCUCUCCAGUCUGGGAUACGUGCUUCUCCAGAUUCAGGAAGUGUGGCCCUUAUGGCAUCUGCUCUGCUUCCCAGGCUUGAAAGCAAGGAAUGAAAGGAGAAUAAAAACCCCUCUCCAAAGCAGACUCUUUCUGACACCCCGUGUCGGUAUAAACUCUAUCUUUUGGCAGGGGCCUGUGGAGUAAUGCCAGCAGGAACACCAACAGGUUACUCUUCCUCACCAUCUCCAGCAAUACUGCUCACCAGAGAGAUUUCAUGUGUGUAAAAUACACAUUCUUUCACAUGUGUAAAAUAAUUUCCAAAACAAAGGAUUUAAAUACACGUUACUAAUCUUAUUUGGAUUCUGUCCAGAAGAACUAAACAAAAGCCUUUUAAAUAAUCAGAUAAUAAUAGCAAAAUCAUACUAUUGUAUUUUAGAAAUAUUUGUUCAAAACUGUAAGAGAUAACUGCUCAAAAUAUUCAGCAUGUACCAGAAGUUCUAUCAUUUGGGCACAUAUUUUAUGGGGUUUUUUUGAGACUAACCCUUUGAUUAUAUUUUUUGCUGCUCAGUUUCUCAUGAGUCUGGCUGUUUUUUUUACCCCAUUCCUUGCCCCUCUGUGGAUCAUGCAGGUUCUCUAUGCAGGUUCCUCCACACUCUACUUGGAUGUCCUCUUCUGGGGCCAUGCCUUCACCUUCUCACCAUCUGCCUUGCUUGGGUGUUUGCCCAGAGAAGCUUUUCUUGCUAUGGGACCUCUGAACUGAUGGCCCUCUGCUCCCCUCCAGCUCUGCUCCUAGGAGCUUUGGAAAACUGAAUUAAUGAGUGUGGACAGCAACAUUUUGAAAGGUGCCAGGCAGUUUACAUAAGAUGGAAAGAUGCACUUUUACAGCAUCAAAGCCUCUGCAGGAGUAAGACACCUCUUGGCCUGAAGCCGGAGCUCUUUUACAAGAGUUUUUGUGCUUAACCUUUUAU